rnacentral:rRNA from 1 species
AGGAUAAACGCUGGCGGCGUGCCUAAUACAUGCAAGUCGAGCGGCAGCGCGGUCUUCGGACUGGCGGCGAGCGGCGGACGGCUGAGUAACACGUAGGAACGUACCCCAAAGUGAGGGAUAAGCACCAGAAAUGGUGUCUAAUACCGCAUGUGCUCUAAGGAGUAAAGCUUCGGCGCUUUGGGAACGGCCUACGCAUGAUUAGCUUGUUGGUGAGGUAAUGGCUCACCAAGGCGACGAUCAUUAGCUGGUCUGAGAGGAUGAUCAGCCAGACUGGGACUGAGAACGGCCCAGACUCCUACGGGAGGCAGCAGUAGGGAAUUUUCCACAAUGGGCGAAAGCCUGAUGGAGCAACGCCGCGUGCAGGAUGAAGGCCUUAGGGUUGUAAACUGCUUUUAUGUGUGACGAAUAUGACGGUAGCAUAUGAAUAAGGAUCGGCUAACUCCGUGCCAGCAGCCGAC